rnacentral:rRNA from 1 species
ACUCCUACGGGAGGCAGCAGUGGGGAAUAUUGCACAAUGGGGGAACCCUGAUCCAGCCAUGCCGCGUGUGUGAAGAAGGCCUUUUGGUUGUAAAGCACUUUAAGCGAGGAGGAGGCUUACCUGGUUAAUACCCGGGAUAAGUGGACGUUACUCGCAGAAUAAGCACCGGCUAACUCUGUGCCAGCAGCCGCGGUAAUACAGAGGGUGCAAGCGUUAAUCGGAUUUACUGGGCGUAAAGCGCGCGUAGGUGGCUAAUUAAGUCAAAUGUGAAAUCCCCGAGCUUAACUUGGGAAUUGCAUUCGAUACUGGUUAGCUAGAGUAUGGGAGAGGAUGGUAGAAUUCCAGGUGUAGCGGUGAAAUGCGUAGAGAUCUGGAGGAAUACCGAUGGCGAAGGCAGCCAUCUGGCCUAAUACUGACACUGAGGUGCGAAAGCAUGGGGAGCAAACAGGAUUAGAUACCCUGGUAGCUACGAGU